UUGGGGGACCUUUGUGCUCCGAUUCUCUGUCUCUCUCUUAUUAGUUUCCCUUCUCGAGUCAGAAGGAUAUACAUCUCCCUUGCUUCUUAUUCGUCAGUUUGGCCGAUGAUUCAUCAUUUCUUUCCAAAUAAAGAAAUGCGAUGGUUCUGGAAAUCUCAAGAACGUAUUCAAUCAUGUCUUUGCAGAGCCCAUAUAUAUAUACUUGCAGGUGUCUGUUUGGGUUUGCAUCUGAUUGGAAAUAACCAUGGCAAAGAAGUCUGAAGAAUUAUCAGAAUACUUAUCAGAUGAUGUGGAAGCCAAUCCAAGUAGCGAUAGCCUUACUAUGAGUGAUGAUGAUGAAGAAACUGCUGAUGAGGAGGGUCAAAUAUCACCAUUUUCUUCUCAGCAAUGGCCCCAAAGUUUCAGAGAGACAAUUGACUCAUAUACGAUUGCCGCAUCACCAAGUUUCGGACUCCGACGACUUGGAUCCAGUAUUAUAUCUGAAGUCGAUAGUAGAGAGUUCUUAGGCUCGGAUGUGAAGACACAUUUACUCGCUGAAAAGGAAAAAGUUCAGGAGCAAAAUGUCGUGGAUGGAAUCUCAGUGGCAAAGGCAUCUUGGUCAGAGAAGGCUUCUUCAUUGCAUGAACAACUGGUUGGGGAAUUACCAAUUUCCUAUGGAUGCAGCUUAACUCAGACUAUAUUCAAUGGUGUCAAUGUCAUGGCUGGAGUUGGACUGCUCUCUACUCCUUAUACAGUGAAAGAAGCUGGUUGGGCUAGUUUGUUAGUGUUGGUAAUUUUUGCAGUUAUAUGUUGGUACACAGCUUCUCUUAUGAGUCAUUGCUUCAAGAGCAGGGAAGGAAUCACAACCUAUCCCGAUAUUGGAGAAGCUGCAUUUGGAAAAUUUGGACGCGUUAUUAUAUCUAUUAUCUUGUACAUUGAGCUCUAUUCAUAUUGUGUAGAAUAUAUAAUUUUGGAAGGAGAUAACCUUACUACUCUUUUUCCCGGAACUUCACUAAACUGGGAGGGCCUUAAACUUGAUUCGACUCACUUCUUUGGGAUCCUGACUGCCCUAGUUGUUCUGCCAACUGUUUGGUUGAGGGACCUUCGUGUAAUAUCAUACCUCUCAGCCUGCGGGGUCCUUGCGACUAUAAUAAUUGCUCUGUGUGUGCUUUUCCUUGGUACAGUGGAUGGAGUCGGAUUUCAUAAUACCAAUCGGGUUCUGAACUGGAGUGGGAUUCCUUUUGCUAUUGGGGUAUAUGGCUUUUGCUUCUCUGGGCACUCAGUCUUCCCAAACAUCUACCAAUCUAUGGCUGACAAAUCAAAAUUCAAUGACGCAGUAGCUAUAUGCUUUAUUCUGUGUAUUCUAAUAUAUGGAGGUGUUGCAAUAAUGGGGUAUCUCAUGUUUGGUCAAAGCACAUUGUCUCAGAUUACUUUAAAUAUGCCUGAGGAUUCAAUCGCUUCAAGAAUAGCAGUAUGGACCACUGUUAUCAACCCAUUCACGAAAUAUGCAUUGCUGAUGAAUCCUUUGGGAAGAAGCAUAGAGGAAUUGCUGCCUCCAAGAAUCUCUAGUAGUUUCUUGUGUUUUAUUCUCCUAAGGACAGUGCUUGUCUUUUCUACCCUGUGCGUUGCAUUUCUAAUUCCCUUUUUUGGUCUUGUGAUGGCUCUGAUUGGUUCUCUUCUCAGUAUACUGGUGAUUUGGAGAUCAUCAAACUUAGCUUAUUCAAAUCUGAUUAUGUUCCUCUCCCUCCAAAUCAGUGCAACAAUCAUGGCAAACACACAGCUAGUAAUAACAUUUGUUCCUCUUCUGCUCUUGACUUUCUUGCAUGCCCAUUCCAACUCUGUUUUCCAAUCUCCAAUGCUCCUAUUAUAUCCCAGCCAUGAACAUAGUCUGGACCAUAUUUGCUUUGUGAUGGUGCACUCAAAGAACAAGUGGCUAAAGGAUUCCAGGCUAUGUCAACAAAAUGCACAGGCUGCAGGAAUUUGGAUACCAAUCUUCAACAGUCUUUCCACUAUAGCUAGUCUAUGUUGUGCUGCAAGCCAUAUGGUGAAUCUAUAUCUUGGAUGUAUAUUUGUGUGCAACAUCAAACUUUUCCAUUCAGCUCUGGGGUAUACUGGUAUCAGUUUCAAGUACAUCUACUUAAUCUGGAACUUUGUAUUAGUGCACAUUGUCUGUAGUCUGUUAUGAAUGUUUCCUUGGAGUUGUUGAUGCUCCAUAAUCAAACUUUUGCUAUCUAGUCUCUUCCUCACCACCCAAGAUGCAGAGUUAGAUGUGGCCAUUUUUUCCAGAUUCCUAUUUUUUAUAUAGAAACUAUACACCCACAUUAUCCAUAAGCAGUCCCUUCUUGUUAUAUCUCACAGAUGUUUUAUAAUUGCUGCUUUGUUCCACAGCUUUAUGUCUAGUAUAUUGAGUCCUCCAGCAGCUGUUAGCCUGCACACCUUUUCCCAAGCCACCAGUGCUUUCUUUGAGAUAGUAGUAGUAUCAGUCCAUAGGAAAGUUCUGCAUAUUGCCUCAAUUGCUUUCAUAACCUUCUUUGGAAGAACAAAAAUCUAUGCCUAAUAGGUUUGAAUGCCAAAGAUAACAGCCUUGAUCAGUUGACAUCUGCCAGCAUAAGAUAGAAGUUUAGCUGACCAGCAUGUGACCAUUGCAGUUAUCUUCUCAAUAAGAGGCAGGCUACUGGUAGAAAAGAAGUUCUUCACAGCUGCAACGAUGUCCUUCACUAUAUUCCAGUUCCUAGUAAAGAAUUCCACAGGAAAACCAUCAACCCCUGGUACUUUGUCUUUA